GGUUAAGCGACUAAGCGUACACGGUGGAUGCCCUGGCAGUCAGAGGCGAUGAAGGACGUGCUAAUCUGCGAAAAGCGUCGGUAAGGUGAUAUGAACCGUUAUAACCGGCGAUGUCCGAAUGGGGAAACCCAGUGCAAUUCGUUGCACUAUCGUUAACUGAAUACAUAGGUUAACGAGGCGAACCGGGGGAACUGAAACAUCUAAGUACCCCGAGGAAAAGAAAUCAACCGAGAUUCCCCCAGUAGCGGCGAGCGAACGGGGAGCAGCCCAGAGUCUGAAUCAGCUUGUGUGUUAGUGGAACGGUCUGGAAAGUCCGACGGUACAGGGUGAUAGUCCCGUACACCAAAAUGCACAGGUUGUGAACUCGAAGAGUAGGGCGGGACACGUGGUAUCCUGUCUGAAUAUGGGGGGACCAUCCUCCAAGGCUAAAUACUCCUGACUGACCGAUAGUGAACCAGUACCGUGAGGGAAAGGCGAAAAGAACCCCGGCGAGGGGAGUGAAAAAGAACCUGAAACCGUGUACGUACAAGCAGUGGGAGCACCUUCGGGUGUGACUGCGUACCUUUUGUAUAAUGGGUCAGCGACUUAUAUUCUGUAGCAAGGUUAACCGUAUAGGGGAGCCGCAGGGAAACCGAGUCUUAACUGGGCGUUAAGUUGCAGGGUAUAGACCCGAAACCCGGUGAUCUAGCCAUGGGCAGGUUGAAGGUUGGGUAACACUAACUGGAGGACCGAACCGACUAAUGUUGAAAAAUUAGCGGAUGACUUGUGGCUGGGGGUGAAAGGCCAAUCAAACCGGGAGAUAGCUGGUUCUCCCCGAAAGCUAUUUAGGUAGCGCCUCGUGAAUUCAUCUUCGGGGGUAGAGCACUGUUUCGGCUAGGGGGUCAUCCCGACUUACCAACCCGAUGCAAACUACGAAUACCGAAGAAUGUUAUCACGGGAGACACACGGCGGGUGCUAACGUCCGUCGUGAAGAGGGAAACAACCCAGACCGCCAGCUAAGGUCCCAAAGUCAUGGUUAAGUGGGAAACGAUGUGGGAAGGCACAGACAGCCAGGAUGUUGGCUUAGAAGCAGCCAUCAUUUAAAGAAAGCGUAAUAGCUCACUGGUCGAGUCGGCCUGCGCGGAAGAUGUAACGGGGCUAAACCAUGCACCGAAGCUGCGGCAGCGACACUAUGUGUUGUUGGGUAGGGGAGCGUUCUGUAAGCCUGCGAAGGUGUGCUGUGAGGCAUGCUGGAGGUAUCAGAAGUGCGAAUGCUGACAUAAGUAACGAUAAAGCGGGUGAAAAGCCCGCUCGCCGGAAGACCAAGGGUUCCUGUCCAACGUUAAUCGGGGCAGGGUGAGUCGACCCCUAAGGCGAGGCCGAAAGGCGUAGUCGAUGGGAAACAGGUUAAUAUUCCUGUACUUGGUGUUACUGCGAAGGGGGGACGGAGAAGGCUAUGUUAGCCGGGCGACGGUUGUCCCGGUUUAAGCAUGUAGGCUGAUUGUCCAGGCAAAUCCGGAUAAUCAAGGCUGAGGUGUGAUGACGAGGCACUACGGUGCUGAAGUAACAAAUGCCCUGCUUCCAGGAAAAGCCUCUAAGCAUCAGGUAACAUCAAAUCGUACCCCAAACCGACACAGGUGGUCAGGUAGAGAAUACCAAGGCGCUUGAGAGAACUCGGGUGAAGGAACUAGGCAAAAUGGUGCCGUAACUUCGGGAGAAGGCACGCUGGUGUGUAGGUGAAGCCCCUGCGGGUGGAGCUGAGACCAGUCGAAGAUACCAGCUGGCUGCAACUGUUUAUUAAAAACACAGCACUGUGCAAACACGAAAGUGGACGUAUACGGUGUGACGCCUGCCCGGUGCCGGAAGGUUAAUUGAUGGGGUUAUCCGUAAGGAGAAGCUCUUGAUCGAAGCCCCGGUAAACGGCGGCCGUAACUAUAACGGUCCUAAGGUAGCGAAAUUCCUUGUCGGGUAAGUUCCGACCUGCACGAAUGGCGUAAUGAUGGCCAGGCUGUCUCCACCCGAGACUCAGUGAAAUUGAACUCGCUGUGAAGAUGCAGUGUACCCGCGGCAAGACGGAAAGACCCCGUGAACCUUUACUAUAGCUUGACACUGAACAUUGAGCCUUGAUGUGUAGGAUAGGUGGGAGGCUUUGAAGCGUGGACGCCAGUCUGCGUGGAGCCAACCUUGAAAUACCACCCUUUAAUGUUUGAUGUUCUAACGUUGGCCCCUUACCGGGGUUGCGGACAGUGUCUGGUGGGUAGUUUGACUGGGGCGGUCUCCUCCCAAAGCGUAACGGAGGAGCACGAAGGUUAGCUAAUCCUGGUCGGACAUCAGGAGGUUAGUGCAAUGGCAUAAGCUAGCUUGACUGCGAGCGUGACGGCGCGAGCAGGUGCGAAAGCAGGUCAUAGUGAUCCGGUGGUUCUGAAUGGAAGGGCCAUCGCUCAACGGAUAAAAGGUACUCCGGGGAUAACAGGCUGAUACCGCCCAAGAGUUCAUAUCGACGGCGGUGUUUGGCACCUCGAUGUCGGCUCAUCACAUCCUGGGGCUGAAGUAGGUCCCAAGGGUAUGGCUGUUCGCCAUUUAAAGUGGUACGCGAGCUGGGUUUAGAACGUCGUGAGACAGUUCGGUCCCUAUCUGCCGUGGGCGCUGGAGAAUUGAGGGGGGCUGCUCCUAGUACGAGAGGACCGGAGUGGACGCAUCACUGGUGUUCGGGUUGUCAUGCCAAUGGCACUGCCCGGUAGCUAAAUGCGGAAGAGAUAAGUGCUGAAAGCAUCUAAGCACGAAACUUGCCCCGAGAUGAGUUCUCCCUGAGACUUUAAGUCUCCUGAAGGAACGUUAAAGACGAUGACGUUGAUAGGCCGGGUGUGUAAGCGCAGCGAUGCGUUGAGCUAACCGGUACUAAUGAACCGUGAGGCUUAACCUU
rnacentral:rRNA from 1 species